rnacentral:rRNA from 1 species
UACGUAGGGGGCAAGCGUUGUCCGGAUUUAUUGGGCGUAAAGAGCGUGUAGGCGGCCAGGUAGGUCGGUUGUGAAAACUAGAGGCUCAACCUCUAGACGUCGACCGAAACCACUUGGCUAGAGUCCGGAAGAGGAGAGUGGAAUUCCUGGUGGUAGCGGUGAAAUGCGCAGAUAUCAGGAAGAACACCGUGGCGAAGGCGGCUCUCUGGGACGGU